AGCCUUGCACAGUGGCAGUGUUGUAGCCAAUGAGGUUUAUCUGAGACGCAAUUAUUGCUAGUUAAUAUAUCAGUAUUGUGAUUUCUUAUUUUUUCUUUGUGGUACUGGGGACUGAACCCAGGUUGUACACAUGCUAGGCAAGUGUUCUAACAC
ensembl:snRNA U4 U4 spliceosomal RNA